rnacentral:tRNA from 1 species
GGAUGUAGCUCAGUGGUAGAGUGCUUGCCUGGAAAGCAUGAGGCCGCGGGUUCAAUUCCCAGCACCA